rnacentral:rRNA from 1 species
UACGGAGGGUGCAAGCGUUAUCCGGAUUCACUGGGUUUAAAGGGUGCGUAGGUGGGCUGGUAAGUCCGUGGUGAAAUCUCCGAGCUUAACUCGGAAACUGCCGUGGAUACUAUUAGUCUUGAAUACUGUGGAGGUAAGCGGAAUAUGUCAUGUAGCGGUGAAAUGCUUAGAUAUGACAUAGAACACCGAUAGCGAAGGCAGCUUGCUACACAGUCAUUGACACUGAGGCACGAAAGCCAGGGGAGCAAACGGG